AAAUCACAAGCCAUGGCUGCUCGCGAUGUCUGCUCUACGACCAUGAAUAGUAAGUUUAAAAUACUAACAAAUUAACUGGACGGCGAUAACUGAUAGUAAUCUCAAUCUUGUCCCAUGUAGUCAAGGCAUUUCACACAGCUGUUUACAAAAGCAUCAGAUUUCAGUAAACUUACAAGCACCUUUUGUGGAUAUUGAAAAUGUAGCUAAGAAACCUUCUGCCUGCUAACAUGUAAGAGCUUGAAUUUUAAUCAGGAAACCUGAGACAAAGACAAAACGAAUUCAUACUGACUGCAUGCAACUUACUAUUUUCCAAAAUAGAAACCCUUUUCAUCCACCGCCAGGCAUCAGCUCUACAUUUACAAUCUUGUAGGGGAAAAAAGAAAUAAAACAACAAUGACACCUACAUCUAUGUGUUCCUUACAGAUCCGUGAAUGAUCUCCUUUUUAUAAACUACUAUUCAAAUGUGAUUUAGCUGUUUGGCUGAUGGUCUCGUGACAUCAUCUCAAGUCUUGCUGGCCUAAUUUAAAUGUUCUCCUGUGCUCAAGCCAGUAUUUUCUUCUGUCUUACCCACAGCCCACCUUGAUGUCUUUGGAAUGCAAGCUCCAGAGCCCUAUUUCCAGACACGUCCCUUUACCGAAAAUGUCAAUAUCCCGAUGGAGAAUGCUUAUGAUCAUCAACAAAUGAUGCACCUGAUGCCACAUGAGACUUUCAGCGGCAGUAAUUUCGUGUGUCCCACUUCUUCGCAGUGGUCUAAUGGAUAUAUUCCUUCUAACACGGACCUCUAUGGUACUAGCCUGGUAUCGAGAUCACCCUCUGAUACUUUCAAUCUCCCAAGUCCAGUCGACUACAACAGUUACUCUCCCCCUCAGUCCAACUCUUCAUCUUCUUCGUGCUACAGCUCUCCAACGCGGAUGGAUUUGAGCUCUAGUUUCUCUCCAGAAAAUUACCACUAUCAGCAUUGCAACCUACAGAAUUGCUUUUGUCUUUCGCAUUGGUCCAAUCUGCAGGAAGGCAUGGCAACCUCGGAGUUUGCGCCCUACGGCUCUUCAGACUGUUUGUAUUCAUAUGGCGACGACAGUUAUUUCAGAAGGGAUACUUCAAACUCAGAGAUGUGUUUCUUAUAAAAUGCAUUUUGAAGCUCUUUGCGCGAAAAUUCAGUGUCAUAAUUGAUUUAUUUGAAUGCAUUUGUUGUAUUUUAGAUUAGAUAAAAGAACAAGCAGUGAUAGAAUGCAUGAUUUACAAAUUAUUCAUUUAUCUUUUCUACAAUAAACAUAUUUUUUUCGUAAUUAUACUGGCAUUGGGGAAAUAUUUCAGAUUUACAGCGUGCAGUUUCUGUUUUCACUCUUGAAAUGUACAUCGGAGCUUCGAUAGUUUUUUUUUUUUUUACGUACAAAUACAGCUGUGGUACUGAGGGCUCAUUUAUUGUUUUGUAUAUCAACAUUCGACAUUAUGAAAAAUACCAGAAGAAAGCUUAACAAUGUGUUAUUUAUAAAAACAGAUUUUGUCCUGUAACUACAGCUGUUAACAUUUUUAUUUGCUCCUAACAAAUACACUGUAAAUGUCAACUCACACCGAAAACAUAAGUUUAAUCGUCUUCAUUAUUGUAAAGUAAAAACAAAGCAUGCAUUGCACUUUUUCAACCACUUUACUGAUUAAAUAUAAAGCUCACAAAAUUAGUUCAUUUGCAGAAGUUGUUUCUUAUAAGAAUAUUUGAUGAUUUAAGAUUUAUCUCACACCACAAACUGAUCAUGGAACAAGAAGUCAUUUUCACACACUUUCACCAAAAGAUAAAAUGGAAUGAAAGUCGCAGCCCCGUUUACUGAAGUUCAGAAGAAGCUAAAUUAAAAAAAAGACAACAUGAAUCCCACAAACUGCAUUUAAUGUAGCGAUAUCUCAAGAGCUUAACAAUUCCACAUGUAUAAAAUGGUAAACUGCUCAGGGACAAUCGUAUCAUAUAUAAAACAUGAUUUCUAAACGAUAAGCAGUAUAGGGCCUAUACACACUCAAAGGCUAUUCACUUUAAGUUUUCCAAAAAUAUAAAAUAGAAAUCAAUUCAUGCUUGGAUAUCUGUUUUUAAACAUGUCGAGACAUCAAUAUGUGUCUUUAACUUUGGAACAUGGCACGACUUAAUCAGUAAACGGUCACGCAAUGGUGUAUUCAUUAACUAUAGAAAUCGGGAAUGUUUUGCAGUCAAACAGAAGGGUGUGUACAGUGAUCCAGAAUUGGCAGACGCACACGCUUUGUACCCGCUGCUCACCAACUUGGAAUUCCCCUCGGGAAAGCAAAGGACAAGGAAGUCUUCCUUUAGCCACACGUUGACUUCUUUUUUACUUGAACUGCUUUCCCUCCCACUUCUGCACAACGUGAUGUCUGAUCGCGGAACUGAUCCCAGCACACACGUCUUCGUCUGACAAAAUAAAUAAAUAAAAUAAUAACAAACAAGGUUAUUGUUAUUUUUCUCAUAGAGUGCAGUCCAGCAAUAUAAUUUCCAUCAGACUUUAAGCACGCGGAUGGACUAGUCCGGGAAGCUCCAGUUCAAACUGGUUACGUUUUUGUAGGGAAACGAAAAGGAUUUCUGACUUUUUCACCUCAGUAUAGUCUAAAUGAGCUAUGAAAAAAUCCGCACCCAAAUGUAGCGGGAUCUUGUGCGUCAGUGGUUGCGUAAUGCUCAUCUUUGUGAUUGGCCGCUACACCUAUCCGAUGAGCGUCCUUGCAAGAUCUCUCAUUAAAGUUAUGUCGGCUCAGUUAACUGUUGCUGAAUUAAGAAUAGUAAGAGUAUUUUAAGAGUCAGUAAUAUUGUAUAAGAAAAGGACGGUUUCAUGUAGCAACAAAAUCACUUUACAUUCAAUAUUUUAUUUAUUGCUUAAUGCAGCUCUUGAAUGUACAAGAAUAAAGUUACACAUAUAAACGGCUAUACUAUUUAAAUACCAAAGUGGCGGUCUAUAUAUUUUUAUCAGUUUUCUUUUCAUAAACAUGAGACAAUAUAACACUAGGGUUACAUGAAUAGAGUCUGUUAUAAAACAAACAAACAAACAAACAAACAAACAAACAAACCAGCAGAACACAUAUUUGUGAGCACUGGCGGAUAUUAAGGUGAAUAAAUCAUCGUUUUCAUUUGUGAAUCCGGCUGAACGUGAAACAGCUGUGUCCUCAUCAGGGCACGCGCAGCCCCUCUGUCAGGGGUGCAACUCUGGUCUAACAGCUGGGGGGUGGGGGACGGGGCAAAACUGAGGUUUGGGUUUUAGUCAGUUUUCAUUUCAGUUGCAACAUACCAUUUUAAUAUGCAAUUCAAUUGUAAUAUGCAAAAUAACCACCCCCCAGGAAUUUAUUAACCGUUUUUAAUGACUCAUGUAACCUUGCAUUUUAAUAAAUAAUACAUAAAGACAAGUAAACAGUCAGUAAUAAAUUAACAAAUUAUAGCAAUAGCCAGGCCCGGACUGGCCAUCGGGAGCACCGGGAGAAUUCCCGGUGGCCUGGCGGCUGCCCUUGUUUUUUUCUUCUUUUUUUUGUUGUUGUUGUUUUGUUAAGCUAUUAUUAUUAUAAAUAUUUAUCCCUUCUCAAUGUACCAAAGUGAUCAUUUCCGAUUUUUUUUUCAUACGAUAAUAAACCGAUAAUAAAUCAUUAUCGUUUAGUGUUGUCUGGCAGCGCUGCACUAUACGAAUCAGUUCACGUCUGUUCCGUGCUUCAGUCAAACGGCUCCGAACAGAACCGACGCGCGGGACUCCGUGAAAGAGAGGAAGCGGCCAGAAGAAGCAGUGAAAUGUAGCAACAUCAAUGAUCUGUUCAGGGUUCAAGUGCAGCCAGUGCCGGACUGGGACGCAAUUUCAGGCAGGGAAUCUCACACUCAUCCAGGCCACACAGAAAAAAGGGGACCAAAAUUGUACCUUUUGGGUAAAACAGCUUGUUACUGAGCGCUACUCUCUGAGACAUCUUUGUCUUACUUUUUUUUUUUUGUUUACCCCUAAUAUGUACAUAAUUGAAGUAUAUCGUAGGCCUACCUUUUUUUUUUUUUUUUUUUUUUUUUAACUUGUCACUUCUUUACCAGCAGACAAGGGCGAUUCUAGGAUUUUCAUUUUAAAAUGGAGCCCCCAAUAAGAGUAUAAUAAUAAUAAAUAUAAUAAUAAAUAAAGUAAAACAAUGUUUGACUAAUAGGUUAGGGUGGUUUACUAAACCAGUUGCAGUAAUUGCAUAAGUUAGAUGGGUAUAACAUUUGAGUACUGAAUAAGCCAAAUACAAGUCUUCCUGAUGACACACACACACACACACACACACACACACACACACACACACACACACACACACACACACACACACACACACACACACACACACACACACACACACACACACACACACACACUACUAACACUGCUUUCAGUCAAACUCAUCAAGAAUUAUGCAAAAACACAUUUUAUUUAUUUUAGUUAUUUGAGAUGUUAUAAUAGUUCUCUAAUUGUGUUAAAAUAGAUUAAACAAUUAUUUAACAAAUAUUAUAUUUGUAUAAUAAACUUGCUCCUGAUGCGUUCAUAUGUGUUAAGGGCUACAUUUUCACUGGAGGAAACAGCUGUGAGGGGUAAAUGGAGUGAAAACUUUACAGUAGAUGGUAAACCGAUUGCUCCCCAUGACACCGCAUAAACAUAAAACCAUGUCUGCAUUUGUGAUCAGAGAAAAGACAAACAAGUUCUGCUCUACCCUGCUCAAAACUCGCAUUUGAAUAAUCAGUGGCAAAUUCUUUAAAUAUAAAAAACGUACUUACAGGUUGUGAGUCAGAAGUGCCAGACUGUCCUUGCAAAGUUGGAACUGCCCCACUUUAUAAAAACAGCCUUUGUUCCACAGACGCAUUGUUCUGGUUUAGGAAACAGUCCUUAGCCUCCAUAAAAUGCGCUGCACACAUCUGUAUAUUUGGGUUGAACUGUUCUGGAACAGUGUUGUUUACAACUUAACCACUGAUUUCUAGUUGUGUCCUCUUUUGGAAGGCCAAACAAAGUAGUUUAGCUUUUACAACAAAACACAGCGUCUUCACAACAUGGCAGCGGGGGCAUCAGGAGACUAAAAGUUACCCUUCUUUCUUUGCAUGAACAUUUGGGCGGCGUUAAAAUUUUGUCAUUAUUCACUUACCCCCAUGUGGUUCCAAACCCCUAAAAGCUUCGUUCGUCUUCGGAACAAAAUUUAAGAUAUUUUGGAUGAAAACAGGGAGGCUUGAGACUGUCCCAUAGACUGCCAAGUAAAUAACAGUGUCAAGGUCCAGGAAAGUAUGAAAAGCAUCGUCAGAAUAGUCCAUCUGCCAUCAGUGGUUCAACCGUAAUGUUAUGAAGCGAGACAGACUUUUUGUACAGGAGAAAAAAAUAACGACUUUAUUCAACAAUUCCUCUCCUCUGUGUCUCUCCAAAUCAGCAUAGCGCCUUUUUGGCAAAUCUGAGCUGUAGGCAGGCGCUGUAUGCUCUUCUGUGUCAGCCGCGCUGCGCUGAUGCGCUGUUUGCUUUCAAACCAAAGCAUAAAUACAUGUAAAAAAAACAUGUGGCGCCAUCCAACCAUCCUUGUGGCGCGGGUGAUACAGAAGAGCAUAUGCCGCCUGCAUACAGCUCAGAU
rnacentral:lncRNA from 1 species